rnacentral:SRP_RNA from 2 species
GCUGGGCGUGGUGGCGGGCGCCUGUAGUCCCAGCUACUUGGGAGGCGGAGGCAGGAGAAUCGCUAGAACCCGGGAGGCAGAGAUUGCAGUGAGCCAAGAACAUGCCACUGCACUCCUGCCUGGGCAACAGAGCGAGACUCCGUCUCAA